ensembl:misc_RNA 7SK 7SK RNA
GUAUGUGAGGGCGAUAUGGCUGUCAUCUGUCACCCACUGAUCACCAGAGUUGGAUUGGCUGAUCUGGUUGGCUAGGCUGGUGUCCCUUCCUCCCUCACCGCUCUAUGUGCGUCCCUCUGGAAGCUACACCCUCAGUCAAAGAGGAUGGUAUUCCCCCGAAGAGAUGGACCAGUCUUUGAUUGGGGGUGUAUGAGUAGUUGCACUCCCCUGCUAGAACCUUCAAGCCAGCAUCAAGGAAUGACAUCCAGUAAAAUAUGCACUAGCCACAAGUGGUUAUUUAUUUAUUUAAAUUACUUUAUUUUACU